rnacentral:rRNA from 1 species
AAGGCGAUUAGUUUAAGAGAUUAAUUGAUUGACGAUAAUCACAGAAGAAGCACCGGCUAACUCCGUGCCAGCAGCCGCGGUAAUACGGAGGGUGCGAGCGUUAAUCGGAAUGACUGGGCGUAAAGGGCACGCAGGUGGUGACUUAAGUGAGGUGUGAAAUCCCCGGGCUUAACCUGGGAACAGCAUUUCAGACUGGGUGACUAGAGUACUUUAGGGAGGGGUAGAAUUCCACGUGUAGCGGUGAAAUGCGUAGAGAUGUGGAGGAAUACCGAAGGCGAAGGCAGCCCCUUGGGAAGAUACUGACGCUCGAGUGCGAAAGCGUGGGGAGCAAACCAGGAUUAGAUACCCUGGU